rnacentral:lncRNA from 1 species
UUGAAAAGAAAAAGAGAGUUUGAAAGCUUGAAACAUUCGGCCAUUGUUGGAGCUUAAAUUAAGGUUAGUUUUUGAUCGGUUUUUGAUAAUUUUUACGUUUUUGAGAUUGUUGCUUCGUGUUCUUCAAAAUCCAUGCUUUAAUUUUUGGAAUUUAUGAUGAUUUUGUGAUGUGUCAUUGAUGAUAGUUUGUGAUUUUUGUUGGUUGAUGGUAGAAAAUAAAAGAUAUGUAAUAGAUUAUAAUGUUUGUUUUUGAAUUUUUGAUGAAUUUGAUUAUUUUGAGUUAAAUUGUAAGAAAUAUUAAAUUGAGGGACCAAAUUGUGAAAUAAAUGACAUGCAAGGACCUAUAUGAGACUAGGGAAUAUUCGGCCAAACUACAUUGUGAUUAAUUUGGAAUAUUUUGUGUUUUGUGCAAUUUGGACUGAAUUGUAAAAAUGUUAAAUAUUAGGGGUAAAAUGGUAAAUUACCUAUUUAUGUGUUUUUGGAUGAAAUUGAAUGAAAUUAUGUUUGAAUGAGUUAAAUUUGAAUGUGUUUAGAUCAAGAAUUAAAGAAAUCGGACUUGGAUCGGGGAAAAAAAUAAAGUCGACGAUUAAUCGUUCUGUUCCGGUUUAUCGCUAUCCGAGGUAAGUUUAUAAUCAAAUAGAUGUUAUAAUUUUUGAAUAAAUAGUUAUAUAUGUCUAAAUGAAAGUAUGCAAAAAAAUAUAUAGCUGAAUAUGUUUUAGUCGAAAAAUAAAAAUAGACGUGAAUGUGAUUUAUCAAUAUUUAGCACUAAGUGUGCGAGUAUGGGAUAGCUACAGCUAUAUGAACGGCACUAAGUGUGCGAAACUAAAAUGACGAUGUUGAAUAAUGGGCACUAAGUAUGCGAAAUUAAAAUGAUGAUGUUGAAUAACGGGCACUAAGUGUGCGAUACCGAGAGCAUUUUGGUUAGAUGAGAAAGAGCACUAAGUGUGCAACUUCAUUAUAGUCUCAACCAAUUAUUUAGUACAUGAUAGGUCAAGUAUGCAAUGGUUGAAUAAUAUAUGAUAUCAAGGUAAGUUAGUUACUUCAACUGUGAUAAGAAAAUUUAUAUGAGGUAAAUGAAAAUAUAUGAGUAUAUGAAGGUCUAUAUUCGGCCAAAUGGUAAGUAUAUGAGAUAUUGUAAUUGUGAAUUAUAUGCAUCUAUAUAUGAAUGAGUACAUAUGGUAAAGAGUGGGUAUAUGAUUUGAAAGUGAAAAAAAAUAAGUACGUUUUUAUUUACAUGUAUAUUCGGCUAAGUUGAAAUUGAUUCAUAGUUACAUAUUAGAUAAUUAAAUUUUGCAAGCUCGAAUGUGUAUAUAUAUAUGAAUAUGAUUGCAUUAUUCGAUUUUGUUAUUGAAUUAUUAACGUCAUUGAAUUGUUUAAUUGCUUAUAACUUACUAAGCUAAAUUAGCUUACAAUGUGUUGGAUAAUUGUUUUAAUGUAUAGAUUUUGGUGAUCGCUACGUGUUCGGGGAUCGUCAGCUAAGCUUAUCACACUAUCGAUUUCUUUUGGUAUUUUGCUAAAUUUUUUAAUUCGGUCGUAUGGCAUGUAUAGACUAGUUUUGGAUUUUAGCUUAAUUUGAUAGUGUGUGUGUGUGUAUUAAAGCCAUGCGAAAAUGGCUUAAUGUCCUGUUAUGUUUGUUUUGGAUUGGAUUAUG